CAUGCUAUCCAGGCUGCAGCUGAGCCUGGUUAAGAGGUUGUUACCCAGAACCAGCUUCCAACUACUUCUUCCCUUCUUGCACAUCUUGCACCGAAUGUGACUGCACUCCAUCAGACAGGGCAGCAUAAUUCCACACGUAGGCACUCCCAGCCUGGUUCUGUCCGAAUGAGCCAGUUUCUGAAAGACAGCCUGAUUGUUAAAACCGGACUAACAAAAAUAAUUUCAAAAAAACUGGGUUAGAUAGAUCUGAAUGAGUAUCAUGCUGAUAACAGGGCUGGAUGGCAGCAAUGAGCUGCUGAACUGAGUGACAGGCUGAACCUGGUUUUAGUUGCCGCGACCUGGGACAUCUGAAUGGAGAGCUGCUGUCUCUGGAUGCUCAAGAGGGCAGUGAAAGGACCCAGACUCAAACUAGAGGCUGCUUUGCUGAGAGAAGCCGUUCCAUCCCAAAUUACCAGCUAUUUGGGUCUCAGCCUGCAAUCCUACUCAGCCAGGAGACUGUCCUCUAGACAAAGACUAAGAAAAUACGAGCUCAAGUGUGUCAUGGAAAAGUGCUGGAGCUCCAUCCUUCUCUCUCAAGCCAAGCCAGUUCCUGGAGAACUCUGGAUCUGCAAGUGAAAAGCAGUCAAGGUGGACUCUUCCCUGUUCCCACCAUAGACCUCUGUCAGCAGAGUGGAAUUGCAUCAUCUGUGUGGACUUUCUGGGCAAGGGAAAACACUGAACAGAAUUGGAUCUGAGACUUCCCUGCAGAUCUCUGGUGAAUCAACUUGAUAAUGCGUUGUUGGUGUUCACCUUCUGGGUGCGGCUGGAUACCCAGGCGUUCGGCAGCAGGCUCGCACUCGAGCAGUGGAAGUCCUGUAUUUCUUCAGGACAAACAAGUACUUGCUCUGCCAUUUAUGGUAACCAAGCUCUUCACCUAAGACCUGACAUAUCAAGGCUCCCAGAAAAUGGCACUGCUGUGCUGUUUGUAGCCCGGUGCUGGUGUUCAACGUGCUCCUGUUGAUCAGCUGCAGACCUGGGAAGACCUUCACCUCUUGCUCCCUCAGCCCAUCUCUGCCUUAAAUGCCUGUAGACCAGUAGCAAGAAGAAAGGAAUUAUUUGCAUUCAAUAAAAGAAAUAUUUCCUUUCAAA